rnacentral:rRNA from 1 species
UACGUAGGUGACAAGCGUUGUCCGGAUUUACUGGGCGUAAAGAGCGCGCAGGCGGUCGUUCAAGUCGAGUGUGAAAGCCCCCGGCUCAACUGGGGAGGGUCAUUCGAUACUGAUCGACUCGAAGGCAGGAGAGGGAAGUGGAAUUCCCGGUGUAGUGGUGAAAUGCGUAGAUAUCUGGAGGAACACCGGUGGCGAAGGCGGCAUCCUGGACCAACACUGACGCUUAGUGAGCGAAAGCCAGGGGAGCAAACGGG